ACUCAAAGGAAUUGACGGGGGCCCGCACAAGCGGUGGAGCAUGUGGUUCAAUUCGACGCAACGCGAAGAACCUUACCUGGGCUCGAAGCGCAGUGGACCGGGGUGGAAACAUCCCUUUUCGCAAGAACUGCUGCGGAGGUGCUGCAUGGCUGUCGUCAGCUCGUGUCGUGAGAUGUUGGGUUAAGUCCCGCAACGAGCGCAACCCUUAUCUCUAGUUGCCAUCGGGUCAAGCCGGGCACUCUAGCGAAACCGCACAGGAUAACUGUGAGGAAGGUGGGGAUGACGUCAAGUCCUCAUGGCCUUUAUGUCCAGGGCUACACACGUGCUACAAUGGCCGGUACAAACCGUCGCAAACCCGUGAGGGGGAGCUAAUCGGAAAAAGCCGGCCUCAGUUCGGAUUGGAGUCUGCAACCCGACUCCAUGAAGCUGGAAUCGCUAGUAAUCGCAGAUCAGAACGCUGCGGUGAAUACGUUCCCGGGCCUUGUACACACCGCCCGU
rnacentral:rRNA from 1 species